UCUAAAUUCCCAUUUGUUCUGCUAACAAAAUUUUUUCAUUUGAUCAAAUUCAUUUAAAGACUGAAACCUUUCUGUGGUCAGUGUGAGACAGAGCAAAAUAUGCUCAAGCCUUCAGACAAUACUGCUUACUGGAUUAGGUUGGAAAAGAUUUUUUGAGCCAUCAGAGUGCAAAUUAAUUUUAAAAAAGGACAUGAAUCAACGUGUCUAAGCAGCAGAAGCAGACAAGUGGGCCAGAAAAACUCUAUGAGAAAAGAUGCAAAACAUCAUUUGUGUAGAAAACCUGGGAAGAAGAAUCUUUCAAGGGCACCUGGAUGUGGAAAGGCUGAAAAAAACUAGUUCUCUCAGCCUUUCCAUUCCAUCCCUCUAAUCACCUUGCUGGCCCUCCUGUAAACCUGCUCUCGAAGGUUGGUGCCUUUCCUGGUCUGGGGACCCCAGAGACGGAUGCAAUACUCAAGGUGAGGUCUCACCAAAGCAGGGUAGGGGGGCAGUAUCACUUCCCUCAACCUCCACUUUCUGCUUUAGAAGAUUGGAAAUGGUUGGCUUUCUGGGCUGCAACAUUCUGCAGUAUUCUGGACAUAAAGUGUUUCAAUUGUCCUUUCCUCAUCAUGCUUUCAAGAAGAAAAGCAUUGGUAAAAUUAAGCAUUGGAAACUCUAGCCCUGACACGUGGCUUCUGAAAUAGCUCUGAAAGCUAAUUCAGGCCCAUGUUCCAAGAGAAUUGGCCUCAACAUGGCUGCUUCUUCACACUCAGUCCCAGAGCAGAGGAACUUAAUUUGCAGUAGCAGAGCAGAAAAGCAAAACUGCAAGCCUGAGAUGGGGCUUGGCAUGAAGCCCACAGGCUGAUGGCAUGGGCUUUACUUCAGUGCAGAGGGGUAAAUCAGGAUCAUCUUCCUCAUCCUCAAAAAGUAUAUGUCUUAAAGGACUGCCACACAUCAGGAGGAGAUUUUCUUCCUCUUUCUGUGUACAGGAGUGUCAUAGAUUCUUACAUCAGACUUCCUGUUCCAUGCUGUGUGUGUGGAAAUCAAGUCUCUACAUGGCAUGGAGAGUGGUCCCACUUAUGGAAAAAUGCACACUUAUACAGAAUAUUCUCUAAAUCAUUGGCCAAGUUAUUUAAGUGUACUUCUUAAUCAGUACAUAGGACCAGUUCCCACCAGGCACAUAAUCUACCCAGAGAAUAUCUGAAAUUCCUACAAGGCGCUGAGUUCAAAUAUCUUCCAAAAACUGCCACAGAAGACUUACUGUUAUCAAUGAGCAAGUAACCAAAACAAAUGAUAGAAUUGAAGUUCUCAUGCCUAAUAAAUAAAACCCAAAUACGUACAUCCAGACUUGAGGAUUAUUUUUAUUAAGAUUGGUAUGGGCAAAGAGAACAGUGCUUUUUGUGAUAUUUCAAUACUAGAUCAACAUCCUAAAAAGAAAGAAAAUAGAUCUUUUUGUCUCGUGACUUCAGUAAUUUAUGCAGUUCCUUCUAGUUCACUACUAAUUAAUUAAUUAACUGUGAGAUUUUUAGCUCCUCCAAACUUCAGGCAGGUUUUCAAUAGUAGUGAAUGAAUUCUAGGUGCCAGAAGGAAGUUUGAAAGUCACUCGCUAUCAAUAGACCUAAAGGAAGAUUGAAAAACUCCUUUUCUUAGCAGUACCCUGUUAUUUCUGAAGUGUAAUGAUAACACUGUAAAUCAACAUUGUUCAGCAUCAUCAACAUUGGUUUUGAUACUUCUUUUUCAGAUUCAGCUCCACCAAUAAAUCUGAAAUAUUUGAUUUUUUAAAUGGGCACACCAAGAUAGUAUAUAACUGGGCUUAUGUUUUUGUGAAAGUAGCAAUUCUAAACAUUCAUAGAAGAAAGAUCUACAGAAGAAGUUCAUCUAUUUUCUUUCAAUGAAAGGACAUUGCUCAGAUUACAUUAAUCUCUGGGGAUUUUUUGCAAACUUGGCAUUGAAUGAUUUGAUCCAUGAGGCUUCCAGCAUUUUUGUAAAUAAUCUCAAAAAUCUUUUCCACCUGUUUUCAUCAAUCAAAAACAUUCCAAGUACAUUUAAAACAUUUUUUUACAGCUUUUUAUUGUUAAUCUGUUUCUUCCAGUGAUAUUUCUGGGUCAUCAGGCAAGGAGGCAAAGAUUCAAUGGACUCUGACAGAACAGGACUGAAAAUGGAAGCAUCAGGAAUUCUCCUGUGUUGUAGGAAAAGAGAGAGGGGUGGUUCUUUGGAGAGAAUAAGGCAGGUAGGUCUCACACACUUGGUUGUACACACCUGCUUACACAAGCCCUGAUGCCCAAGUUUCUUCCUGUAAACCAGCAACACUAUUUCGCAGUUUCAAUGGGGAUCAUGGUGGAAUUUUACAGAGAAGGUCUGGAUAUCCUUAGGAUCUACAUGAAAACACGUCAGUGAGCACUUUUCUGCUUUGCUUUUAGGAGCAUGUGUCAGAAAACUCUUAGAGACAUUAACAAAGAUGGGUUAAUGUUCUGCAAAACAGACUGAUCAGACACCCAAAGACCUACACUACUCUCUCUUGUCACGUUUUAGGGUACUGCAAGUUGUGGUCUGCUCUGUUUUUGGGGUAAGAAUCAGGUAGGCUGGAAAUCAGUAGUACCAUUCUGUUCUGCAAAACACUUCUACUUGCUUUCUUUCACUGCUGUUAGGCUUUCUUUCCUCUUCCUUCUAUCUUUAUUUCCUUGAUAGAGUCUCAGUGUUGCUGUUGCUGAUGCUGCUGUUCUGCUUGAAUCAGGAACCAAAAACUUGUGACUUUUCUAGCUCUCCCCUUUUUUUACAGUUUCUGCAUCACUCAGAGUGACGGCACAGAGUCCAAAGUCACAACUCUGGGCUUUCCAUAGAUGAAUCUUGAAGAUGCAAACACACCACGAAGAGAAAAAAAGGAGUUUGCCUGUAGGUACUCUGAACUUUUCACUGAGUUCAUUUGAGCUAUGUUUGAGUGACAGCAUUUACCCUAAAUGGAAGUCAGUGUAGGGGAGAGGAGCAAGAGAAACAUUAUGAAAAUCUUUACUAAAGAUGAGAAAAUAUAUCCUCUUUGGAAAGAAAACUGUGGAAUAAGCCCUCCUGGUCAUAAAUAUUUUAGGUGUUCCUGCAGAGAACUGAAACCUAUCAUUGAUUCAAUUUUUUUUAACCACAGAGAUUAUGACUGAUAUUUUCUGCUUGUGUGCAUGCUCCCUACAAUUGUACUACAUUGAUUCAUUAUUUUUUUAAAUGUUAACAUAAAGAGGGUCUCUUUUACUGCAUUCUCACUUGUUUUGGUAUUUGUUUUGUGCUUGGUUUUCUUGGUUUGGGAUUUGGGGGGUGGGUUUUGGGCUUUGGGUUUCUUCCAUUUACAAUCAAAUGGAAAUUACUUCUAGGUGAAGUAGGGUUAUACUCCUCCCCUCUCCCCAAAAUACAAAGUGGCUCUUUGGAGUAUCACUCUCCUUUAGGAAGGUCUGUGCAAUCUCUUGAAGAUUAGGGACACGUAUGCAGGAAGAAAGUUGUCAGGGUUUAGAUCAAAGUUGGGGAUUGGUGAGGGACAGGGGAGUGGGGAGAAAAAGAAAUCACCGAGCUGAUCUCAGAGACUGCAAGGCAUACAGCACCUUCUCUCUUAGGGCAAUGUGUACUUUUUUUCCUACUACUUGCAAGGAGUUUAAAUAACUAUUUGAAAAAUAAGGAAAAUUGUUAUUCCCAUAAGGCCUACCUAAGCAAUACUGAGCUGAAGCUUUAGGAAAAUAUUGCUCCUUUUUCACCUCUCAGACGAUCAGAAAAUUCUUUGCAUUUUCUCUUUCAGAAAACCCUAAAAAUAAUGGAUUGUUCCUUUCAGAAAGUGCCAGUAACACACCAUUCUUCCCCGGUUUUCAGAGCUCACAGUAGUGGCUGGAUAGAUGAGGCCAUCACGAGCCGGAGACAUCAUCAGCACAGAACACUCUGCUAUUUAUUUAGAUUCUGAAAAAAAGCUUUCUUGCUUAUUUUCCUAAAAUAAUUAAAAUGCAUCACUUAAGUUCCGAUAUGCUAAAAAAAAAA